rnacentral:rRNA from 1 species
UAGGGAAUCUUCCGCAAUGGACGCAAGUCUGACGGAGCAACGCUGCGUGAGUGAAGAAGGAUUUCGGUUCGUAAAACUCUGUUGUUAGAGAAGAACAGCGCAUAGAGUAACUGUUAUGCGUGUGACGGUAUCUAACCAGAAAGCCACGGCUAACUACGUGCCAGCAGCCGCGGUAAUACGUAGGUGGCAAGCGUUGUCCGGAUUUAUUGGGCGUAAAGCGAGCGCAGGCGGUCAAUUAAGUCUGAUGUGAAAGCCCCCGGCUCAACCGGGGAGGGUCAUUGGAAACUGGUUGACUUGAGUGCAGAAGAGGAGAGUGGAUUUCCAUGUGUAGCGGUGAAAUGCGUAGAUAUAUGGAGGAACACCAGUGGAGAAGGCGACUCUCUGGUCUGUAACUGACGCUGAGGCUCGAACGCGUGGGUAGCAAACAGG